CUUUCGGAGCUGUGCGGCAUUCUGAGCAGGAAUGGCAGUGUGGACCUCUGUGAUGGGACAUCUUGUGGGAUCUCACAGCCAGUUCUGUGGCAAAGGAGGAUGAAGGCUUACGAGGACUCGUCAGGAAGCUGGAUAACAGAGCGAGCGCAAUGUAUUAAUGGGUCACCUCAAGUGAAGGCACUGCAAACACAAUGAUUGGUCAUUCUGAAUUUCCGGUCCUUCAUUCUGAAUUUCAAAGGCUCCUGUGACAAGUGGACAUGCAGUGACUGCACCUUUGUUUCUGAGGUGCCUGGAUGGAGGCUCAAAUAGAAGAUGGUGUCAGAUAUAUUGUGUUAAAAUUUUACCAUUAAAGUGUAUUAUAACAUGAA
rnacentral:lncRNA from 1 species